rnacentral:rRNA from 1 species
GAUGAACGCUAGCUACAGGCUUAACACAUGCAAGUCGAGGGGCAGCAUGGUCUUAGCUUGCUAAGGCCGAUGGCGACCGGCGCACGGGUGAGUAACACGUAUCCAACCUGCCGUCUACUCUUGGACAGCCUUCUGAAAGGAAGGUUAAUACAAGAUGGCAUCAUGAGUCCGCAUGUUCACAUGAUUAAAGGUAUUCCGGUAGACGAUGGGGAUGCGUUCCAUUAGAUAGUAGGCGGGGUAACGGCCCACCUAGUCUUCGAUGGAUAGGGGUUCUGAGAGGAAGGUCCCCCACAUUGGAACUGAGACACGGUCCAAACUCCUACGGGAGGCAGCAGUGAGGAAUAUUGGUCAAUGGGCGCAGGCCUGAACCAGCCAAGUAGCGUGAAGGAUGACUGCCCUAUGGGUUGUAAACUUCUUUUAUAAAGGAAUAAAGUCGGGUAUGUAUACCCGUUUGCAUGUACUUUAUGAAUAAGGAUCGGCUAACUCCGUG